UUAGAGCGCUACCCUGCGAUCGACAACAAAGGACACGCGCGUUCACCUGUGCGGGGGACGAAGGCUUUGCCACCCCUAGAUAAGGCUUCCCAUUGGCAGCCGCUUGCUUUUCAUCAGCGUCAAAAUUGGCGUCGACCGACCACAAUAAGUGUCAAAGAUGUAGGCCUACAAGUGUCAGAACCUGUUGGCUCUGAAACUCGCCCCUUUCAUUCCGCUGGCAUGGAGCGAGUUGCUCUCUGCGAUCCGAAAACGAACGAACGAACGCCGUCUUUCCUCCGAACCUGUUGAAUUGGCUGAAGGGUUGGUACCGGACCUCGGGCGGCCGGCUCCUCCGACUACGACGGCGCCACUCUUCAUGUGUGGGCGAUCAUCUCUCGUCCGACCAUCGCUCAAAACGUCAAACACCCACGUGUUUUUAAUAUCAAUCUCGUGUGUGUCAGUGAAACGUGUGCCGAGACCUGCUGCUGAGCAUAUGCGGAUGCACCGCCGCUGAAAUUACCUUUUAUUGAUUUUAUCCGGCGAUUGCGUGUUUGGAUCAGGGAAUAGCAACUUUUGCUUCACGCUGGCACAUUUGGGAAUGUGAAUGAUAAUCAACCGGCUUUUCCUUCGUAUGUCAUUGGAGAUAGAAAUCGACUUUUUCAUUAAAAUAAAUAGCCUUUUGGAAUGAAGUAUUUUAAAGCAACACUGUUGUCCUUUCCAUAGCAUUAAAUCUGUUAAAAUUUUUGCUCCAAUUGAGUUAAAACCCCUAUUGUUUUAAGAAAGCAGUAAGCGAAGGGAAGAUAGAGAGUGAAAAAAUUUGGGUAUUGAAUGUUCAUUACCUGGUAUUAUGCGCAUUUUCACGUUUGGGACGUUACAUAUAAUUAUGUUUACAAAAAAUAAAAUAGCUCUGGAGAUAUUUUUUUCUUCAAUUGUGA